AGCUGUAAAACAAAAUCAAGGUGGCGAUGGUCAGUUCUCGAGCUUCGAACGGGCAGAAAGCUAAACAAGAAGAUCAGGGCGGCGAUGGUCAGUUCUUGAGCUUCGAACGGGCAGAAAGCUAAACAACAAGAUCAGGGUGGCGAUGGUCAGUUAUUGAGCUUCGAACGGGUAGAAAGUGCACUUCCCUAUGUCCAGCUAAACAACAAGAUCAGGGUGGCGAUGGUCAGUUCUUGAGCUUGGAACGGGCAGAAAG